rnacentral:lncRNA from 1 species
UUAUAACCAAUAAUACAUAUCUAACAUUUUUUUUUGCAACUGAAAACUGUAAUAUAGAUGAAACGAAACUAUCCGACACUUUUGUAUAUCUUGGGUAUAAACUUCAAACAAAUAUCUGAUAUUGACAUGGGAUAGGGUUCAUAAUAACAUAAACAAUUAUUGGACUUUUGGGGAUCGCCCAGAUAUUCCGACACCCCACUGGUCCAACACCCCAAUAGUCCGAC